UCGGGUAUGGUGUAGCGGUAACAUCGUUGACUCUCACUUUCCCCCAAAGGAAGUGACUGCUUUCUCAACAGCCCCGGGUUCGACUCCCGGUAUCCGAG
rnacentral:tRNA from 1 species